rnacentral:rRNA from 1 species
CGGCAACGGAUAUCUCGGCUCUCGCAUCGAUGAAGAACGUAGCAAAAUGCGAUACUUGGUGUGAAUUGCAGAAUCCCGCGAAUCAUCGAGUCUUUGAACGCAAGUUGCGCCCGAAGCCUUUAGGCCGAGGGCACGUCUGCCUGGGCGUCAUG